UCCGUUUCCUCCCUUCUGGGUGGGACCCACCCCUGACCCUGGCGUCACAGUGGGCUGUCCAGGCAGCAUCUGCCAGCCCCUUAGCUACUGAGGCCUCCCUGCCCCCACUCUGGCCAGCAGGCUGACAGCAGAGGACAGCAUAGAGGGAGGAUGGUGCAGAGAGAGAAUGGUGAACUGUGGCUCUCAGCCUCCGUGCUCUCGAAAAGCCCACCUGCCUUCCCAAGCAACUCAGCUGGGAGGGAGCUCAGGACGCGUCAUGGCCUCUGCUGACCUUAGUAUCCCUCCCUGCUUGUGAAGGGAAAUGACUGAAGCUGGUCCUUCCACAGUUGGGCCCCCUUUAAGGAACCAACGAGGUACAGAGCAGCCAGGCCCUGCACUAGCCCAGCUCAAAAGCAGAGGGCCCAUGACAACGGAUUGCACUCUGGAGCUUCAUGACCCACUGCAGCCUCUCCUGGAGGCACCAGGACCCUCUGGUCCCACAGCUCCAUCUGAAGUAAAGCCCUCCACAGGCUGACAACUUUCCACUGCUCUGGAGAAAAGGGACUGGAGAGUCCCUUGAGAAUCAAGACUCCCAGAGAGAAAAAAAUAGCACAUUAAGACUGGAACAGGACUGGUAGAGCUCUUCCUAGCAUGCUUCAGGCCCUGGGUUCAAUCAGCAGCAACGUGGAAAGAAAACUUGGGAUAGCAAAGGGUAUAAGGACUAGAAGACCCGAGUGUGCAUCCUACAUCUGCCAUUUCAAGCUGCAAGUUUGUUCUGUAGAUAAAAAAUAAAUGCC
ensembl:lncRNA